UGAUUUUCACAUACCGUAAUUAGUUUCACAAUGCAACAUGUCUCGUAAGCAUAUAAUUGAUAUUCGUAUAUAUGUGUGUGUGAAGUGGCUUUUUUUUUUAAAGACAAAUGAAUAGGUCAAGACUACCUGAAUUGUGCAAAUAAAUACCGUAGAAAGGCUUGUAUAUUUCUCACUGGUACAUAGUCGAACCCCCUUCUCCCAGAAAAUUUUAGGUAAUUUUAAAUAAUCUUUUUAUUACUGUUAUCAAUUUUAAGGUCUAAUGAAACUCAAG
rnacentral:lncRNA from 1 species